rnacentral:rRNA from 1 species
GAGUUUGAUCCUGGCUCAGAACGAACGCUGGCGGCGUGGAUAAGACAUGCAAGUCGAACGCUAAUCAUCAGGUAGCAAUAUCUGGUGGUUGGAGUGGCGCAAGGGUGCGUAACGCGUGGGUAAUCUGCCGUGAAGUUUGGGAUAACUCGCUGAAAGGCGAGCUAAUACCGGAUGUGAAGAUAGAGAGGCAUCUCUUUAUCUUCAAAGCUGGGGACCGCAAGGCCUGGCGCUUCACGAUGAACCCGCGGCCUAUCAGCUAGUUGGUGAGGUAACGGCCCACCAAGGCUAAGACGGGUAGCUGGUCUGAGGGGACGACCAGCCACACUGGAACUGAGACACGGUCCAGACACCUACGGGUGGCAGCAGUCGAGAAUUUUUCACAAUGGGCGAAAGCCUGAUGGAGCGACGCCGCGUGGGGGAUGAAUGGCUUCGGCCCGUAAACCCCUGUCAUUUGCGAACAAACCGCAUUAUUUAAAAGAUGAUGCGUUGAUGGUAGCGAAAGAGGAAGGGACGGCUAACUCUGUGCCAGCAGCCGCGGUAAUACGUAGGGGGCCAGCGUUGCUCGGAAUUACUGGGCGUAAAGGGUUCGUAGGUGGUGCGGCAAGUUGGGAGUGAAAUCUCUGGGCUUAACCCAGAGGCUGCUUUCAAAACUGCCGUGCUCGAGUGCGAGAGAGGUCAGUGGAAUUGCAGGUGUAGCGGUGAAAUGCGUAGAUAUCUGCAGGAACACCCGUGGCGAAGGCGGCUGACUGGAUCGCAACUGACACUGAGGAACGAAAGCUAGGGGAGCAAACAGGAUUAGAUACCCUGGUAGUCCUAGCCCUAAACCAUCAGGACUUGGGGUGGCCCGCGUAGGCGGGUCGUCCCGUAGCUAACGCGUUAAGUCCUGCGCCUGGGGAGUACGGUCGCAAGACUGAAACUCAAAGGAAUUGACGGGGGCCCGCACAAGCGGUGGAACAUGUGGUUCAAUUCGACGCAACGCGAAGAACCUUACCUGGGCUUGAACCGCUACUGACCAACGGUAGAAAUAUCGUCUUCCCGCAAGGGACAGUAGUAGAGGUGCUGCAUGGCUGUCGUCAGCUCGUGCCGUGAGGUGUUGGGUUAAGUCCCGCAACGAGCGCAACCCUUAUUCGUAGUUGCCACCCGCAAGGGGGAACUCUACGAGGACUGCUCCGGAUAACGGAGAGGAAGGUGGGGAUGACGUCAAGUCAGCACGGCCUUUAUGUCCAGGGCUACACACGUGUUACAAUGCACGGUACAGACUGUUGCGAACCCGCGAGGGGGAGCCAAUCGGAUAAAACCGUGCUCAGUUCGGAUUGCAGUCUGCAACUCGACUGCAUGAAGCCGGAAUCGCUAGUAAACGCAGGUCAGCUAAACUGCGUUGAAUACGUUCCCGGGCCUUGCACACAC